CACACACAUAUACGUAUUUAAGCACCUCACUCCGCUCGGCGACUCCGUAUAUACAUACUGUAUAUAUUCUGCGUGUGCAGAGAGCAACGAAAUUUCGCGUGUCUAUAUGGACGUGCUGUUCAUGUGUGCGUGUGCGUGAGCGUAAACUCAUAAUAGCGUGGCGCAGAGCGUCAUUAAAGCGCCGAGAAAGAGAGUGCGAGUGAGCGAGGUACAUAUAAGAUACACACGAGUCAGUCUUGGCGAAAACCUCGCAGCCGCCGCAAUCUGCUUUUCUGCUGCUGCUGCUGCCGCUAUCUCGUAUAUAUAGCUCUGACACAGUGAUUCGAGUGAGGCUCGAGGAGCAGCUCGCGAAGUAUAUCGAAAAAAACGACGCACACGCUAUUUUGGCGGCGGCUGCUACUGCUGCUGCUGCAGUGACUCCCUGAAUUUUCGUCGUUUCCAACGAAACAGUUUUGACUCCGAUACGUAGUACUGUCGAAAAAGAAAAGGGACUUCUCUCUCCUACGUUAAUAAAACAUAUACAACGGUACAUAUACAUAUACGUGUAUCAGUGUGAGACCGAAACAACACACGGCCAGCAGAGCAACAAUGUCCUACGAAACGAAGUACAUCUUCGCGACGCUGCCGCGCACGGCCAGGGGCCAGCCCCUGGUGCUCGGCGGCGAUCCCAAGGGCAAGAACUUCCUCUACACGAACGGCAACAGCGUGAUCAUACGCAACAUCGAUAAUCCGGCGAUCGCCGACAUCUACACGGAGCACUCGUGCCCGGUGAACGUGGCCAAGUACUCGCCCAGCGGCUUCUACAUCGCCUCGGGAGAUCAGUCGGGCAAGGUGCGCAUCUGGGACACGGUCAACAAGGAGCACAUACUGAAGAACGAGUUCCAUCCGAUCGGGGGGCCGAUCAAGGACAUCGCCUGGUCGCCCGACAGCCAGCGCAUGGUCGUGGUGGGCGAGGGACGCGAGCGCUUCGGCCACGUGUUCAUGGCCGAGACCGGCACCUCCGUCGGCGAGAUAUCCGGCCAGAGCAAGCCCAUCAACUCGUGCGACUUCAGGCCCGCGAGGCCCUUCAGGCUCGUCACCGGCAGCGAGGACAACACCAUCGCCGUCUUCGAGGGUCCCCCCUUCAAGUUCAAGAUGACCAAGCAGGAGCACUCGCGCUUCGUGCAGGCGGUCAGAUACUCGCCGUCCGGGCAUCUCUUCGCCUCGGCCGGAUUCGACGGCAAGGUCUAUCUGUACGACGGAACGAGCAGCGAACUGGUCGGCGAGGUGGGCUCGCCCGCUCACCAGGGCGGCGUCUACGGGCUCGCCUGGAAGCCCGACGGCACUCAGCUACUCACCUGCUCCGGGGACAAGACCUGCAAGCUCUGGGACGUCGAGACGAGGACCCUCGUCGACGAGUUCGUCAUGGGCAAUACGGUGGACGAUCAGCAGGUGAGCUGUCUGUGGCAAGGCAAUCACGUGCUGUCCGUGUCGCUCAGCGGAUUCAUCAACUAUCUCGACCUGAACAAUCCGCUGAAGCCGCUGCGCAUAAUCAAGGGCCACAACAAGCCCAUCACAGUAUUAACCACGAGCCUGGACAAGAGCACGAUCUACACGGGCUCGCACGACGGCUACGUGACCAGCUGGAAGUCGGCUACGGGCGAGAACGAUCGCGUCCAAGGCCAGGGCCACGGCAAUCAGAUCAACGGCAUGAAAGCCGGCGCCGAUCUCGUCUACACGGCCGGCAUCGAUGACACACUUCGCACUUUCGACAUAGCCACCAAUUCGUACGAGAACACGCAGGUGCUGAGGCUUGGAUCGCAGCCCAGAGGUUUGGAUAUUUAUAACGGUAUGGUGAUCGUCUCCGCUGUAAAACAGCUCGUGGUCACGAAGGAGGGUAGAAAAUUGUCCGGCUUACCGAUCAAUUACGAUCCGUCUAGCGUCAGUGUCAAUCAAGAGACCGGCGACGUCGCCGUUGGCUCGAAUUCCGAUAACAAGGUGUACGUUUACACUUUGGACGGUAGCAAUUUGACGCCGAAGGUGGAGCUGCAGCAUCAAGGCCCAGUCACCGACGUAUCCUUCAGUCCCGAUAACAAGUAUUUGGUGGCCUGCGACGGCAAUCGCAAAGUUAUUCUGUACGUCGCGCCGGAAUAUAAGACGCUGGCCCACAACAAAGAAUGGGGCUUCCACAGUGCCAGAGUCAACUCUGUAGCUUGGAGUCCAGAGUCGAAUAUGGUUGCCAGUGGAAGUCUGGAUACAACCAUUAUCAUUUGGAGUGUUACUAAUCCCGCGAAACACACAAUCAUCAAAAAUGCUCACUCGCAAAGUCAAAUUACUCAACUUAGAUGGUUGGACGAGGAGACGGUGAUUUCCGUUGGACAAGACUGCAACACGAAAAUAUGGCGCGUAGAAAAAAUCUGAUUGAACUGAGGGGGAGAAAAUCUGUUUUUUGUUCAAUAUUUUUCAAUGAAGAACAGCUCAUCAUUAAUAAUGGAUGCAUUUUAUUUUACUUCAUAGGGGGAUACCGUAAGAAGGAACUUGCCUCUCGUCUCAAUCGAUUACGUCACAAAUUAUAAUAAACUACACAUCACAUUAUACGGCUCUCGAAU
rnacentral:misc_RNA from 1 species